GGUUGCACAUUUCAAAAUACUUCUCAACCUGUAAACAGUAUAUCGUUUUUCAGAGUUAUAUUAUAGUAUAUUAUAUAGGGAAAAUGAUAAAAUUAUGGUUAUUUUUGAUACUGGUUUCAUUACUUGUUAAUUUAAAUGACGCAAUUCAAUGUUAUAACUGCAACGGUGCCUCCAGCAACACGGAAUGCAAUGCCAAUCCUGUACAAACAUGCUCUACUGGUGACGAUGGCUCCUGUAUGAAUGAAAUCCGGUUGCAACGAUGCGGC